rnacentral:rRNA from 1 species
CAGUCGUACCGACGAGAAAUCAACUUAUCGUGUGCGAACUUGUGGGCGUGCGUGAGUUUCGGCCUCGCUGUUUGCAUGUUUGUGCGCUUUGGGUGUACUUUUUCGUAUGGUUGGCCAACAUCAGUUUCGAUUACUAUAAAAUGACUGGCGGAAUGUAGCUUCGAUUUCGGUUGAAGUGUUAUAGCCUCUGGUAGAUGUGGUGAUUGGGACUGAGGAUUGCAACGAAUACCCUUUGGGCUAUCCGUCUGGCCUCUGAAAGUUGCUCAGGUGCCGAAAGCGUGCUUACGGUCAUCUAAGAUAACGUUCAACAGGUUAGAACGUGAUUACAUUCGUUAAGGACGUUGGCGUAAUGGCUUUAAACGA